AGCGAACGCUGGCGGCAGGCCUAACACAUGCAAGUCGAACGAACUCUCCGUAGUUGCUGGCUGACGGGGGAGUAAAACGGUGGAACGUGCCUGUUUGUUCGGAAUAACACAUGGAAACUUGUGCUAAUACCGGGUGUGCCCUGCGGGUAAAAGAUAUGUCGCCAGUAGAGCGGCCCGAGUUUUAUUAGCUAGUUGGGAAGGUAAGGGCUCACGAAGGCGAGGAUCGGUAGCGGGUCUGUGAGGAUGACCAGCGACACUGGGACUGGGCCACGGCCCAGACUCGUGGGGGAGGCGGGAGUGGGGGAUCUUGCGGAAUGGGCGAGAGGCUGACGCAGCCAGGCCGGGUGAACGAUGUAGGUGUUAGAAUUGUAAAAUUCUUUAAACGGGGACGUUUAUGACGGUACCCAGAGAAGAAGCACCGGCUAACUUCGUG
rnacentral:rRNA from 1 species